UCCAUAAGAAACUAGGUAUUAAUGUAGGCAUCCUCCCAUGGACACCAAAUCUAAUUAUUACGAUUAUUUUGAACCCUUUUGCAAAUGGCAAAGUGGGGAAAUCAGCAACACUCUGAGAGUCCAUCUCCAAGAGGUUGGAGUGGGCUCUAGCGAAUUCCGAUUUGGUGCAAAUUUGAUAAGGCUUCCAACGGGAUCAAAUAAACGUGCAGGUCAAGUUUGGCAAAAUAUUGAUCGAAGGAGAACGUGAAUAUGUUUUGGAAGGAACCUCAGCAACAAGAUGGAAGCGCUUCAGCAAAGAAAUACCACUUGAAAGAAGAGAAUACAAGCUGUGCAAUAUGAAAACAAAAUUUGAAGCAGGUGUUCUUUCUAUAAUUCUGCCUAAGAAAGUUCAUAAAGCAGAUCAACUUGGCCUGAGUAAAUUAGUCUCAACGUUGAAUGUUACGAGGACUACUGUGGAAGUCAUGCUAGCAGUUUCCAUGGGGUUGGCUGUUGGGGCAUAUGGAACAUACAAAUUAAUAUUCCCAAAUUAAUAUUUCUUUUUGGUGUUAAUUUUUUUUAAUUGAUUUGGGUUGUAGAUGUAGAGUCUGUAUAAGCUGAUCAAAAUUACUCAUCAAUAUUGACGCUGAAAAGUUCAUCCAAUAUGCCUCGAAUAAGAGACAAAAUUGAAGACCGCCUAUGGUCGGCUUACAAUUUUCACUAUGUUGCCAAUGCAAGUAUGGUCGGCUUAAAUAUUAUGCUUUGGUACACA